AUUGAACGCUGGCGGAAUGCUUUACACAUGCAAGUCGAACGGCAGCACGGGGGCAGCCCUGGUGGCGAGUGGCGAACGGGUGAGUAAUACAUCGGAACGUGCCCGGUCGUGGGGGAUAACGUAGCGAAAGUUACGCUAAUACCGCAUACGAUCUGAGGAUGAAAGCGGGGGACCUUCGGGCCUCGCGCGAUCGGAGCGGCCGAUGUCAGAUUAGGUAGUUGGUGGGGUAAAGGCCUACCAAGCCGACGAUCUGUAGCUGGUCUGAGAGGACGACCAGCCACACUGGGACUGAGACACGGCCCAGACUCCUACGGGAGGGAGCAGUGGGGAAUUUUGGACAAUGGGCGCAAGCCUGAUCCAGCCAUUCCGCGUGCAGGACGAAGGCCUUCGGGUUGUAAACUGCUUUUGUACGGAACGAAAAGGCUCUGGCUAAUACCUGGGGCUCAUGACGGUACCGUAAGAAUAAGCACCGGCUAACUACGUG
rnacentral:rRNA from 1 species